GACGAACGCUGGCGGCGUGCUUAACACAUGCAAGUCGAACGGAAAGGCCCUGCUUUUGUGGGGUGCUCGAGUGGCGAACGGGUGAGUAACACGUGAGUAACCUGCCCUUGACUUUGGGAUAACUUCAGGAAACUGGGGCUAAUACCGGAUAGGAGCUCCUGCUGCAUGGUGGGGGUUGGAAAGUUUCGGCGGUUGGGGAUGGACUCGCGGCUUAUCAGCUUGUUGGUGGGGUAGAGGCUUACCAAGGCUUUGACGGGUAGACGGCCUGAGAGGGUGACCGGCCACAUUGGGACUGAGAUACGGCCCAGACUCCUACGGGAGGCAGCAGUGGGGAAUAUUGCACAAUGGGCGGAAGCCUGAUGCAGCAACGCCGCGUGCGGGAUGACAGCCUUCGGGUUGUAAACCGCUUUCGCCUGUGACGAAGCGUGAGUGACGGUAAUGGGUAAAGAAGCACCGGCUAACUACGUG
rnacentral:rRNA from 1 species